AUUGAACGCUGGCGGCAGGCCUAACACAUGCAAGUCGAACGGUAACAGGAAGAAGCUUGCUUCUUUGCUGACGAGUGGCGGACGGGUGAGUAAUGUCUGUGAAACUGCCUGAUGGAGGGGGAUAACUACUGGAAACGGUAGCUAAUACCGCAUAACGUCGCAAGACCAAAGAGGGGGACCUUCGGGCCUCUUGCCAUCGGAUGUGCCCAGAUGGGAUUAGCUAGUAGGUGGGGUAACGGCUCACCUAGGCGACGAUCCCUAGCUUGUCUGAGAGGAUGACCAGCCACACUGGAACUGAGACACGGUCCAGACUCCUACGGGAGGCAGCAGUGGGGAAUAUUGCACAAUGGGCGCAAGCCUGAUGCAGCCAUGCCGCGUGUAUGAAGAAGGCCUUCGGGUUGUAAAGUACUUUCAGCGGGGAGGAAGGGAGUAAAGUUAAUACCUUUGCUAAUUGACGUUACCCGCAGAAGAAGAACCGGCUAACUCCGUG
rnacentral:rRNA from 1 species